GACUUGAUUAUUUCUCAUUAGAAAAGAGAGAGAAGCAAGAAAAGCCAUAUCACCCAUGCGGGUCACUUUCAGCAUCAGAUGGAAGCUUUUUGAUGUAGUGGAAAAGAACAGAGGAUUUGGAAAGAGAACUCAAUUUCAGUCAUGAUUAUAACCUUGGCUUGGCACCUCCCGCUUCAUCUUCAAAGGCCCACGCUUUUGACUUGCAGAAGAAUGGGACAAUUAGCACUGGACUCCGCCAACCUUGGCACCCCUAGGAAGAAGACUAUUUAAUAUCUUAGGACUUAAAGUAAGGAAGCAAAACCUGAGCUGAUAUGGGGAUUAUUGAAUUUUGUCAUCCUCCAAAUUGGGUACCCCAGCUUCCUGUGGCCCCUGGGAUCUGUGGAUAGCUGUUGGUGAUCAUGGUAGAGAGUCUCUUCAUAUCCUGCUGGAUUUAUGCUCUGGAGUACCCUGUUCCAAACCGGCCGUACACAUAGAUAUCAUCUGUUAUUCUAUGAUAAACUGAAUUGUGCCUAGGAGUUUAAUUCUUCCUUGUGGCUUUAUAUUUAAGAGGUGACUUCUAUAGAGACAAAAACAACCCUAAAGAAUAAUUUUGAAAAAAAAAAAGCUUCUUUUUGUCUUACAGCUUGUUCAUUACUCCCUCCUAUGCCCCAAUCCCAUGGAAAUCUUUCCUUUAUUACAUAAGUAUAGUUAAGGAAAUAUAUAAACACAU
rnacentral:lncRNA from 1 species